UAAUACGGAGGGUGCGAGCGUUGUCCGGAAUCACUGGGCGUAAAGGGCGCGUAGGCGGCGCGGCAAGCGUGCGGUGAAAGCCCGGGGCUCAACCCCGGGUCGGCCGUGCGAACUGCCGGGCUCGAGCACUGUAGGGGCAGGCGGAAUUCCGGGUGUAGCGGUGGAAUGCGUAGAGAUCCGGAAGAACACCGGUGGCGAAGGCGGCCUGCUGGGCAGUGGCUGACGCUGAGGCGCGACAGCGUGGGGAGCAAACAGGAUUAGAUACCCUGGUAGUCCACGCCGUAAACGAUGGGCACUAGGUGCUCGGGGGAGCGACCCUCCGAGUGCCGGCGCUAACGCAUUAAGUGCCCCGCCUGGGGAGUACGGCCGCAAGGCUG
rnacentral:rRNA from 1 species